rnacentral:rRNA from 1 species
UACAGAGGGUGCAAGCGUUAAUCGGAAUUACUGGGCGUAAAGGGCUCGUAGGUGGCCAACUAAGUCAGACGUGAAAUCCCUCGGCUUAACCGGGGAACUGCGUCUGAUACUGGAUGGCUUGAGUUCGGGAGAGGGAUGCGGAAUUCCAGGUGUAGCGGUGAAAUGCGUAGAUAUCUGGAGGAACACCGGUGGCGAAGGCGGCAUCCUGGACCGACACUGACACUGAGGAGCGAAAGCCAGGGGAGCAAACGGG